UCCUCUUCCUCCUCUUACUACGCCUAUCUUCUCCAUCUUCUUCUCUCCACCGCACCGAAACUGAAAAGAAAAAAAAACGCAGAAGAAAUCUCUUAAAUCAUUGCUCUUAAUCCGAACCCCUUUUUCCAUCGUCUUCAUCUCUCCACAAAAUCACUGAGUUCUCCAAUAAACCCUAUUCUAAACUUGUAACCACAAACUUAAGCAAAGAGGAAGAAAUCCAUUCUUCUUGAACCAUUUCCUUCUUGUAAUCUUUGCGGUUAAGAUUAUCAGUUAGUCAAGCUUUUGGGAUUUCAAAUAAGUUUUAGGAAAUUUACUUUUGAUGAAUUGGAGAUGGAAGAUCAGGACAUCAUAUAUCAUCUAUGUAUAUAAUUUCUGGAUCUGUUUAUAUGCUUGGAAGAAGCUUAACUGAUUGUUGUGGGGAGCUUUAGCUUACCGAUACAGUCGAAAAAAAAAUUAUAAUCUUCUGUUGUACAACAACGUCAGUAUUGAUGUGGGGAGCUUUCUAUAUCAGGAUUGUAUUCACCACAUAUUUGAUCUCAGUACAAAUUUAUGGAUGGCAGUUUCUAUGAGAUUUCUUCAUAGAGCCAUCAGUGGUAUAUUUGAUCAAGUUCAGGCUUAUGCCACCGAAGUUUACCGAAAAGAAUGUCAAACAUGGGCACUAUUCUCAGCGCCAAACAGGAGCUGCAAGGGGGAUUUCAUCAACUGCAAUGUCUCUGUUCAAAGUAUUUGGUCCAGCUGAUGGUUGGUGCCAUGUCUUGUAGCUGAUGCAAUUGAUUACUACUUUCAAGACAAGCAGAUAUGUCCAGUUGGAAUCCUGCACUGUGCUCAGGGCUAUGUUAUACUUGACAUAGUAGGGGUUUGCAGCAAGGAAAGCGUAAUUAUGAAGGUUGUGACAGAUCAUCAAGAUUUGGUGGUCCAAUAGGUCGAGCACCAAGAGAGUUUGGAGGAGAUGAGGGUGGUGCUCCAGCAGAGUGUCAACCACAAUUUAAGGUUUAAACCUAGUCCGUUGGUUAUCAAUGAACUACUUAUGGAUUUAUUUUCUCUAAAUACAAGAUGAAUUGUUCAUGUAUAAUCUUGUUUAUCCAUGAUAUGUAAUGCCUAAUUUUGUGCAUUUAUUAUGCAAUAGCCUCUCAAUGAAUAAUGAACAACCUACUGUGGGCACGCACAGAUGCAUCCCAAAGAGUGAAAUAAAGUUCUCCAUUUGAGGCAGUGGGUACCACAAAUUCCUUAUUUUGGUACUAUUUUUACCAUAAGCUAUUUUCGAGUGCAUGUAUUACAGACAGAUUCAUCUGUAAUUUCUUAAGAUGAAUAUUUUCUACUACAUAGUAUGUCAAAAAGUUGCUGCUUAUGACUGCAAAAUUGUUGAAGGUGUGUUCAGCCAUCAGCUCAAGCAGUUUGUAAUAGAUGGAAACAAGGUUGUACUCGAUGUUCCUGAAACCAUAGUUGAUGAUGCAGAAUUUUAGGAGAAUGAAGUUUAUGCAAUUGAUAUGGUUUCCAGCAUAGGGGAAGGGAGUAAAUCAUUUUGCUGGUUAAAUGCACUUGUCUUGCAAAUUACUGUUAGGUAGGACUUCGAGUUAUAUUGGUAUGAAUUCAUGAUUUAUAUCAUUUUUUGUGUAAUUUGAACCUAAUUAAUCAAUGAACAAUAAAUGGAAAAUUAUUUGAA